GCACAUGCAUGUAUAUAUUAAUACAAGUAAAAAAUAUCAUAUUUAUUAUUUAAAGGCUUUUUUCGAUACUAGUCUAAUAUGUUGCAUAGUCUAUAUUGCACUGAUACAGCUGCGGCAACCGAUUCGUUUAUUUUUCGUUAGGGUCACAGACUAUUGAUCAUUGGCAAACAUGCGUAGAUGCAGCGUCACGGCGCCUUGGAAUGUACGCAUACACACAGUCUGGCGCCUCCGAUAGGUGUUGUCGUGUGUGCUUCGAUCGCGCAAUCACACUGGCGCUCAACGCUCAGCGGUCGAUGUGAGAUGACAGCGUGAUAAAUUGCCAAUCGCGAAAUUGGCACGAAAUUUAAAUAUUGUGUUGUUCGCUGUAGAGCAUUAAGUGUUCCAUAUUGUUGCUUUCGGUAACUGUUUUAUUUACAAACGCCAAUAAGUUCUUAUGCACCCAACCACGCUUCACAAUACGCACAUUGGCAAAUGUUUUGAAAUGAAUUGCCUGCCAAAUGAAAUUUAUUUAUUGAAUUUAUCGCUUGGUUGUUAAUGCAGAAUUAAGAUUGAAGACUAAUGCGCAAACGAAAAAAAAAAAUAUACUUAAAAAGUUUGACACUUUUAUUCUCUACAAAUUCAAUGUUUGAUUUAUGAAAAAAAUUUAAAAAUCGUAAUUUUUUAAAAUUUUGUGCCUGUGUGUGUGAGCUACAUGUACAUAUAUAAAUUCCGUAUGGUCCGUAAUCUUACAGCGAUAAUAAUAAUACACAAGGAAGAAAGGCUAAGUACGGGUGCAACCGAACAAUUUAUACUCUCGCAAUUUUUAAAGAUCAAGUCCAGGAAAUAUGUCUUUUGAGGUAUUGGAAAAUUUUUUUAUUGAAAGCAAAACUUGCCAAAGAAUUCAAUAUUGCUAUUCAACGAAAUCAUGAAUGGAUUACAAUCAUAUUUGGUAUAUGAGGAAAAAGUCAAGUAGGAGAUCGGAUUUUAGGAGUAUGAGGCUAGACCAAGAUCUAGCUCAAAUUUUCAUUCAUAUUGACCAAUUCCAAUAAAAUAUCACAUACAAGUAUAUUGACAAACGGUUUAAAGUCCGGUGGAAGAAAUCAAUUAUCUUUUAUAUAUAACUACGCUAACAAAAAAGUUUGUGUUCCCUCUUUGACUGUGUUGCCGUUGACAUAUAUGUAUAUAUGUAUAUAUAUGUAUAAAAUAUAUUUAUAUGAAU